UACGAAGGGGGCUAGCGUUGUUCGGAAUUACUGGGCGUAAAGCGCACGUAGGCGGGUCGGUAAGUCAGGGGUGAAAUCCUGGAGCUCAACUCCAGAACUGCCUUUGAUACUGAAGAUCUUGAGUUCGGGAGAGGUGAGUGGAACUGCGAGUGUAGAGGUGAAAUUCGUAGAUAUUCGCAAGAACACCAGUGGCGAAGGCGGCUCACUGGCCCGAUACUGACGCUGAGGCACGAAAGCGUGGGGAGCAAACAGG
rnacentral:rRNA from 1 species